CCAAGCUUAGUUCUGGGGAAAUUAAUUCUUUUUGGUCUCUGACCUUAAAGAUCUCAUAAUCUACUGAGAAAGACUGUGUAAUAGAUGGAUAUCAAAUGACAAAUGUCUAGUGGCUGUGCAGAAGAUUUCCAUUCCUGGUCCUCGAUGUUCCACAUUUUCAUUAACGACCCAGAAGAGACCACCUGUGCUGAGUAUCGUGCCCUUAUGCCUCCAGGAGAAAGGACCCGAAGCAGCUGUGGAGAGGCCGAGUGUAGGGAAGAAUUGAGACCUCCUGUCAACAGUGAACACCCACUUCCCAGUCAUAUGAGGGAUUCUUGGAAGACCACUUGGAAGUGGGUCUUUGGCUGUGUCUUGGAAGCAGACCCGUAGCCUCUGACAAGUCCUCAGAUGCCUACAGCCCUGGCUGACAUCUUAACUGCAACUUCUGAGUAGGCCUUGACCCAAAACUUCCAGCUAUGCUCGAAUUUAUGACCCACAGAUACUGUGGGAAAUAUAAAUGUUUAUUGUUCUUUUA